CCUACGGGCGGCUGCAGUGAGGAAUAUUGGUCAAUGGACGAGAGUCUGAACCAGCCAAGUAGCGUGAAGGAUGACUGCCCUAUGGGUUGUAAACUUCUUUUAUAUGGGAAUAAAACGUUCCACGUGUGGGAUUUUGUAUGUACCAUAUGAAUAAGGAUCGGCUAACUCCGUGCCAGCAGCCGCGGUAAUAAGGAGGAUCCGAGCGUUAUCCGGAUUUAUUGGGUUUAAAGGGAGCGUAGGUGGAUUGUUAAGUCAGUUGUGAAAGUUUGCGGCUCAACCGUAAAAUUGCAGUUGAAACUGGCAGUCUUGAGUACAGUAGAGGUGGGCGGAAUUCGUGGUGUAGCGGUGAAAUGCUUAGAUAUCACGAAGAACUCCGAUUGCGAAGGCAGUUCACUGGACUGCAACUGACACUGAGGCUCGAAAGUGUGGGUAUCAAACAGGAUUAGAUACCCGGGUAGUC
rnacentral:rRNA from 1 species